rnacentral:rRNA from 1 species
UUGAUAUAUUUUAGUCUGACCUGCUCACUGAAAUAAAUUUAAAGAGCCGCGGUAUUUUGACCGUGCAAAGGUAGCAUAAUCAUUAGUUUCUUAAUUAGAGGCUUGAAUGAAUGGUUUGAUGAGAAAUUAACUGUCUCUUAAUAAAUUUUAGAAUUUAACUUUUAAGUUAAAAGGCUUAAAUACUUCUUUAGGACGAGAAGACCCUAUAGAGCUUGAUAUUUAUAAGUUUUAUAUUAUUUUAGGUUAUCUUUUAUGUAAUUUUUUAUUAUUUGGUUGGGGUGACAUGAAGAAUAAUUAAACUCUUCAUUAUUAAAUCAUUGAUUUAUGUUCAUUUGAUCCAUAAUUUAUGAUCAUAAGAUUAAGUUACCUUAGGGAUAACAGCGUAAUCAUUUUUGAGAGUUCAUAUCGACAAAAUGGAUUGCGACCUCGAUGUUGGAUUAAGAUUAAUUUUAGGUGUAGUAGCUUAAUAAUUAGGUCUGUUCGACCUUUAAAUUCUUAC